rnacentral:rRNA from 1 species
UACGUAGGGUCGCAAGCGUUGUCCGGAAUUAUUGGGCGUAAAGGCGUCGUAGGCGGUUGUCGCGUCGGGAGUGAAAUCCAUUGGCUUAACUGGUGGCUUGCUUUCGAUACGGGCAGACUGGAGGUAUGCAGGGGAGAACGGAAUCCUGGUGUAGCGGUGAAAUGCGCAGAUAUCAGGAGGAACACCGGUGGCGAAGGCGGUUCUCUGGGCAUUGAACUGACGCUGGAGGAGCGAAAGCAUGGGGAGCGAACAGG